rnacentral:pre_miRNA from 1 species
UGUGUUGUGUAAAAGUGCUUACAGUGCAGGUAGUGUUUUGGUAUCUACUGCAGUAUAAGCACUUCUAGCAUUACCAU